UACGUAGGGGGCAAGCGUUGUCCGGAUUUAUUGGGCGUAAAGAGCGUGUAGGCGGCUUUACAGGUCCGUUGUGAAAACUCGAGGCUCAACCUCGAGACGCCGGUGGAAACCGUAAGGCUAGAGUCCGGAAGAGGAGAGUGGAAUUCCUGGCGUAGCGGUGAAAUGCGCAGAUAUCAGGAGGAACACCCGUGGCGAAAGCGGCUCUCUGGGACGGUACUGACGCUGAGACGCGAAAGCGUGGGGAGCAAACAGG
rnacentral:rRNA from 1 species